rnacentral:lncRNA from 1 species
CCAUGGGUUUCAGAGACCUGAAAAGCCCUGCUGGCCUCCAUGUGCUCAAUGAUUACCUGGCAGACAAGAGCUACAUCGAAGGUUAUGUGCCACCACAAGCAGAUGUGGCAGUAUUUGAAGCAGUCUCUGGCCCAUUGCCUGUGAACUCGUGUCUUGCCCUAUGUUGGUAAAGUCACAUCAAUUCUCAUGAAAAGAAAAGGCCAGCCUUCCAGGAGUGAAGAAACCUUUGGGCAAAUACGGUGCUGCUAAUGUAGAAGACACUACAGGAAGCAGAGCUGCAAAUAGUAAAGAUGAUGAUGACAUUGAUCUCCUUGGAUCUGAUAAGGAGGAGGAAGGUGAAGCAGCAAAGAGGUUAAUGGAAGAAUGGCUUGCCCAGAAUGAAUCAAAGAAAGCCAAAAAACAUGCACUUGUUGCCAUUUUCCAUCAUACUGAUGUGAAACCGUGGGAUGAUGUGGCAGAUAUGGCAAAACUAGAGGAAUGUGUUAGAAGCAUUCAAGCAGACGGCUUAGUCUAGGGCUCCUCUAAACUAGUUCUGAUGGAAUAUGUAAUUUAAAAACUUCAAAUCCAGUGUGUAACUGAAGAUGAUAAAGUUGGAGCAGAUACACUGGCGGAGCAGGUCACUGCUUUUGAGGAUUCUGUGUAGUCGAUGGAUAUGGCUGCUUUCCAUAAGA